rnacentral:rRNA from 1 species
AUCCUGGCUCAGAACGAACGCUGGCGGCAGGCCUAACACAUGCAAGUCGAGCGAGGACUUCGGUCCUAGCGGCGGACGGGUGAGUAACGCGUGGGAAUGUGCCCUUCUCUACGGAAUAGUCCCGGGAAACUGGGUUUAAUACCGUAUACGCCCUUCGGGGGAAAGAUUUAUCGGAGAAGGAUCAGCCCGCGUUGGAUUAGGUAGUUGGUGGGGUAAUGGCCUACCAAGCCGACGAUCCAUAGCUGGUUUGAGAGGAUGAUCAGCCACACUGGGACUGAGACACGGCCCAGACUCCUACGGGAGGCAGCAGUGGGGAAUCUUAGACAAUGGGGGAAACCCUGAUCUAGCCAUGCCGCGUGAGUGAAGAAGGCCCUAGGGUCGUAAAGCUCUUUCGCCAGGGAUGAUAAUGACAGUACCUGGUAAAGAAACCCCGGCUAACUCCGUGCCAGCAGCCGCGGUAAUACGGAGGGGGUUAGCGUUGUUCGGAAUUACUGGGCGUAAAGCGCGCGUAGGCGGAUUAGUAAGUCAGAGGUGAAAUCCCAGGGCUCAACCCUGGAACUGCCUUUGAUACUGCUAGUCUUGAGUUCGAGAGAGGUGAGUGGAAUUCCGAGUGUAGAGGUGAAAUUCGUGGAUAUUCGGAGGAACACCAGUGGCGAAGGCGGCUCACUGGCUCGAUACUGACGCUGAGGUGCGAAAGCAUGGGGAGCAAACAGGAUUAGAUACCCUGGUAGUCCAUGCCGUANACGAUGAAUGCCAGACGUCGGAAAGCUUGCUUUUCGGUGUCACACCUAACGGAUUAAGCAUUUCGCCUGGGGAGUACGGUCGCAAGAUUAAAACUCAAAGGAUUUGACGGGGGCCCGCACAAGCGGUGGAGCAUGUGGUUUAUUUCGAAGGCAACGGCGCAGAGACCUUACCAACCCUUGACAUCCUGAUCGCGGUUUCUCGAGAGAGGUUCCUUCAGUUCGGCUGGAUCAGUGACAGGUGCUGCAUGGCUGUCGUCAGCUCGUGUCGUGAGAUGUUCGGUUAAGUCCGGCAACGAGCGCAACCCUUGUCCUUAGUUGCCAGCAUUUCGGAUGGGGACUCUAAGGAGACUGCCGGCGCAAGCCGCGAGGAAGGUGGGGAUGACGUCAAGUCAUCAUGGCCUUUAUGCCCAGGGCUACACACGUGCUACAAUGGUCGGUACAACGGGUAGCGAAGCCGCGAGGUGGAGCCAAUCCAAGAAAGCCGAUCUCAGUUCGGAUUGGAGUCUGCAACUCGACUCCAUGAAGGUGGAAUCGCUAGUAAUCGCGCAUCAGCCAUGGCGCGGUGAAUACGUUCCCGGACC